AUGGUUAAGUGACUAAGCGUACACGGUGGAUGCCUUGGCAGUCAGAGGCGAUGAAAGGCGUAAUAACUUGCGAUAAGCCCAGAUUAGGUAGUAAUAACCUUUUGAGUCUGGGAUUCCUGAAUGGGGAAACCCACUUACAUAAGUAAGUAUCCUGUUGUGAAUACAUAGCAACAGGAGGCAAACCGGGGGAACUGAAACAUCUAAGUACCCCGAGGAAGAGAAAUCAACCGAGAUUCCGAAAGUAGCGGCGAGCGAAAUUGGAUUAGCCCUUAAGCUUUUAAUGAGACAGAUGAAGGCUCUGGAAAGUGCCGCAAUAAAGGGUGAUAGCCCCGUAAUCGACAUCUCAUCAUCAGUGAAAACGAGUAGGGCGGGACACGUGAUAUCCUGUCUGAAUAUGGGGGGACCAUCCUCCAAGGCUAAAUACUACUGACUGACCGAUAGUG
rnacentral:rRNA from 1 species